rnacentral:snoRNA from 1 species
ACUGAUCAAUGAUGAUGCCUUAACAUAAUGAGGACUGUUGAAUGAAGCUUGCGGAUAUGGGACUGAGAUCAGCC